UCUCCGUUGGUGAACCAGCGGAGGGAUCAUUACAGGGUUGCAAAACUCCCAAACCAUUGUGAACGUUACCUGUCCCGUUGCUUCGGCGGGCGGCCCGGGCCCCGCGCCCGGCGCCCCCCGGCCCCCCGUGGGCGCCCGCCGGAGGUAAACCAAACCCUUGAAUUGCAUGGCCUCUCUGAGUCUUCUGUACUGAAUAAGUCAAAACUUUCAACAACGGAUCUCUUGGUUCUG
rnacentral:misc_RNA from 1 species